rnacentral:RNase_P_RNA from 1 species
CGGGAAGACCAGAUGUCCGCUGCCGGGGCGCCUCGUGCGCCUGGGGAGAGGAAAGUCCGGACACCACAGGGCGGGAUACUUCCUAACAGGAAGGUGCAGCAAUGCACAGCCAGCUCCACAGAAACAAACCGCCGAGAGUCUUAUCUGAUGUAAAUCCGUUGUGAGACCACGGUUUUGAGUUUUGGGGGACUCUUCGGCAAGGGUGAAAUGGUGGUGUAAGAGACCACCGGCGAUGACGGUGACGACAUCGGCCAGGAAAGCCUUAUCCGGUGCAAUGCCAAAUAGGGAAGCUUUAGCGCUGCCCGCGCGAUUAUGCUUCCGGGUAGGCAGCUUGAGCCCAAGCGUGAGUUUGGGCCUAGAUGGAUGGACAUCAGUCUGGGAAACCAGAUGCACAGAAUCCGGCUUAUGGUAGUCCAGGAAA